AGAGUUUGAUCCUGGCUCAGGAUGAACGCUAGCGGCAGGCCUAAUACAUGCAAGUCGAACGAUUCCAAUGGGCUUGCCCAUUGGAAAAGUGGCGCACGGGUGCGUAACGCGUAUGCAACCUACCUUAAUCAGGGGGAUAGCCCGAAGAAAUUCGGAUUAACACCGCAUAAAAACACAGGGUAGCAUUAUCCAAUGUUCAAAUAUUUAUAGGAUUAAGAUGGGCGUGCGUGUCAUUAGCUAGUUGGCGGGGUAACGGCCCACCAAGGCGACGAUGACUAGGGGAUCUGAGAGGAUGGCCCCCCACACUGGUACUGAGACACGGACCAGACUCCUACGGGAGGCAGCAGUAAGGAAUAUUGGUCAAUGGAGGCAACUCUGAACCAGCCAUGCCGCGUGCAGGAAGACAGCCCUCUGGGUCGUAAACUGCUUUUAUUCGGGAAUAAACCUUAUUACGUGUAAUAAGCUGAAUGUACCGAAGGAAUAAGGAUCGGCUAACUCCGUGCCAGCAGCCGCGGUAAU
rnacentral:rRNA from 1 species